rnacentral:rRNA from 1 species
ACGAACGCUGGCGGCGUGCCUAAUACAUGCAAGCGAGCGGAUCUUGAGGAGCUUGCUCCUUGAGAUUAGCGGCGGACGGGUGAGUAACACGUGGGCAACCUGCCUGUAAGACUGGGAUAACACCGGGAAACCGGUGCUAAUACCGGAUAAUUCUUUCCCUCACAUGAGGAAAGCUGAAAGUCGGUUUCGGCUGACACUUACAGAUGGGCCCGCGGCGCAUUAGCUAGUUGGUAAGGUAACGGCUCACCAAGGCGACGAUGCGUAGCCGACCUGAGAGGGUGAUCGGCCACACUGGGACUGAGACACGGCCCAGACUCCUACGGGAGGCAGCAGUAGGGAAUCUUCCGCAAUGGACGAAAGUCUGACGGAGCAACGCCGCGUGAGUGAUGAAGGCCUUCGGGUCGUAAAACUCUGUUGUCAGGGAAGAACAAGUAUCGGAGUAACUGCCGGUACCUUGACGGUACCUGACCAGAAAGCCACGGCUAACUACGUG